UCGAGGUCGUCAUGUCAUAUGUGUAUUUAACUAGCUGUUGCCCGCGACUUCGUACGCGGAUCCUGUCCCUUAUGCCAGCGACUACGGGGUCAGCAAAAUCAAAGAUCUAAAUAGUCUGAUAUUGAAUUUUAAGGGACCGAAGAGAAACGUUCUAUAUACUUAAUUUUUGUACUUUAACAGCAAAAGCACAGCAGACUAAACAAAACGCUGAGAACUGAACCGCAAUAGACGUGACCAUAGGGAUAAAAUAGUGAUUCUAAUUAGUCCGCAUUUGUGUGUGGCAAAAAUAUUACACAAGU
rnacentral:lncRNA from 1 species